UAGUUGCGAACGGCUGAGUAAUCAAUAGGAAUCUUUCCUUUGGUGCGGAAUACCUCAUCGAAAGAUGAGCUAAUACCACAUAAAAUCUAUGGAUAAAAGCGCAUAACUGCGCGCCGAUUGAGGAGCCUAUUGCCCAUCAGGCAGUUGGUAGGGUAAUGGCCUACCAAACCUACGACGGGUACCCGAUCUGAGAGGAUGACCGGGCAGAGUGGGACUGAGACACGGCCCACACACCUACGGGUGGCAGCAACUGGGAAUCGUACACAAUGGACGAAAGUCUGAUGUCGCGACGCCGCGUGAGGGAUGAAGGCGUUUUCGUUGUAAACCUCUUUUGCCAAAGUAGAGAUACUUUGGAGAAUAAGCACCUGCUAAUCUCGUGCCAGCAGCCGCGGUAAUACGUAGGGGGCGAGCGUUGUCCGGAGUUACUGGGCGUAAAGCGUUUCUAAAGGCGCUUUUGUAAGUUAUCUUUUAAAUACCGAGGCUCAACCUCGGGAAGGGAGAUAAUACUACAAGAGUUGAAAUAUUUCGGGGUUACUAGAACUAUCGGUGUAGGGGUGAAAUCCGUUGAUAUCGAUAGGAAUUCCAAGGGCGAAGGCAGGUAACUAGGAAUUUUU
rnacentral:rRNA from 1 species